rnacentral:rRNA from 1 species
CACGUAGGGUGCGAGCGUUGUCCGGAAUUAUUGGGCGUAAAGAGCUCGUAGGCGGUGUGUCGCGUCGGCCGUGAAAACCUGCAGCUUAACUGUGGGCUUGCGGUCGAUACGGGCAUCACUGGAGUUCGGCAGGGAGACUGGAAUUCCUGGUGUAGCGGUGAAAUGCGCAGAUAUCAGGAGGAACACCGGUGGCGAAGGCGGGUCUCUGGGCCGAUACUGACGCUGGAGGAGCGAAAGCCGUGGGAGCGAACAGG